UUUGGUAUCAGAUUUUGGGCGUUUUGGGUGUUCUUGGUUGAUUUCUAAACUGAUCUCUAUUUUUUAAAGCACAAACAGCAGUUUUACCCAGAAAAAUUGUUCAAAAAAAUUCAUUUGGGUGUGUAAACAUUGUCCGAUUGAUCUGAAAUUUUACAUACAUAUUUGUGGCACUGUGGUUGAAUAUAAAAAAAUUAUUCCCGCAAAAAAAUCAGUCAAAAAAGUCAAAAAAAUCAAAAAAUACGAAAUUCAAUAAAAAAUUAAAAAAAAGAUUCAGCGGGUUGAAUUUGGUGCCCAAAAUUUCCAGAUCAAAAAUUCAAUAUUUAAGUACAUUCCAGAUUUAAUUUCGUGAUUUUUAGAGAUCGGGAACACCUCGAACGAAGUUGUCAAGUUACUCCGCAGUUUUUCAGGUUUUCUGGUUUUAGCAAUUUUUAUUGAUUCUUAGCUGUAGGUUUUCAUUUGUUUGCUUUUUAUUCUUCUGUUACGUUAUCUAACACCUUCUUGUUUCUUGUGUUAGUAGGAUUUAC
rnacentral:lncRNA from 1 species